AACGCACAUUGCGCCCCCCGGUAUUCCGGCGGGCAUGCCUGUUCGAGCGUCAUUUCACACGUCAAGCACCGCUUGGAGUUGGGCCGCCGCACCGCACGUUUCCGUGGCGGGGCGGGCCCCAAAAGGGACGGCGACACCAGGCUGGCUCCCGGGCAGAGUAGAAAUCACGAUGCCCCCGUGGACCGCCGGCGUGUCCCGCCGCUCGAAACCCGAGAGCGACGGGCGCUCCCAGAGCGCACGCGCACCCAAAGGUUGACCUCGGAUCAGGCAGGGAUACCCGCUGAACUUAA
rnacentral:misc_RNA from 1 species